ACAAACGAGAUGGAACUGAAGUCACUGAGAGAAUUGUCACUGAAACAGUAACCACAAGACUUACAUCCUUACCACCAAAAGGCGGGACCAGCAAUGGCUAUGCUAAAACAGCCUCUCUUGGUGGAGGGAGCCGGCUGGAGAAACAAAGCCUGACUCAUGGCAGCAGCGGCUACAUAAACUCAACUGGAAGCACACGAGGCCAUGCCUCCACCUCUAGUUACAGGAGGGCUCACUCACCUGCCUCCACUCUGCCCAACUCCCCAGGCUCAACCUUUGAAAGGAAAACUCACGUUACCCGCCAUGCGUAUGAAGGGAGCUCCAGUGGCAACUCUUCUCCGGAGUACCCUCGGAAGGAAUUUGCAUAUUAAGGGGACUAUCAGCCACAUUAACUUGCUGUCAUAAGCCUUUGCUCGUGGCACUAUAGAAAUGCAUCUUCUUCAACCAGAGGACGGAGUCAAACACGAGAGAGUGAAAUUCGAGUUCGACUGCAGAGUGCGUCCCCAUCCACCCGAUGGACAGAAUUGGAUGAUGUUAAGCGUUUGCUCAAGGGGAGUCGAUCGGCAAGUGUGAGCCCCACCCGGAAUUCCUCCAACACACUCCCCAUCCCCAAGAAAGGCACUGU
rnacentral:lncRNA from 1 species